GAUUCCUUCGGGAGCUGACGAGUGGCGAACGGGUGAGUAAUGCAUCGGAACGUGCCUAUUUGUGGGGGAUAACGUAGCGAAAGUUACGCUAAUACCGCAUACGCCCUGAGGGGGAAAGCGGGGGAUUCGUAAGAACCUCGCGCAAUUAGAGCGGCCGAUGUCGGAUUAGCUAGUUGGUGGGGUAAAGGCUCACCAAGGCGACGAUCCGUAGCGGGUCUGAGAGGAUGAUCCGCCACACUGGGACUGAGACACGGCCCAGACUCCUACGGGAGGCAGCAGUGGGGAAUUUUGGACAAUGGGCGAAAGCCUGAUCCAGCCAUGCCGCGUGAGUGAAGAAGGCCUUCGGGUUGUAAAGCUCUUUCAGCCGGAAAGAAAUCGCGCAGGCUAAUACUCUGCGUGGAUGACGGUACCGGAAGAAGAAGCACCGGCUAACUACGUGCCAGCAGCCGCGGUAAUACGUAGGGUGCGAGCGUUAAUCGGAAUUACUGGGCGUAAAGCGUGCGCAGGCGGUUAUAUAAGACAGAUGUGAAAUCCCCGGGCUCAACCUGGGAACUGCGUUUGUGACUGUAUGACUAGAGUACGGCAGAGGGAGGUGGAAUUCCGCGUGUAGCAGUGAAAUGCGUAGAUAUGCGGAGGAACACCGAUGGCGAAGGCAGCCUCCUGGGCCAGUACUGACACUCAUGCACGAAAGCGUGGGGAGCAAAC
rnacentral:rRNA from 1 species